UGGGACUACAGGCGCCUGCCACUAGGCCCGGCUAAUUUUUUUUGUAUUUUUAGUAGAGACAGGGUUUCACUGUGUUAGCCAGGAUGUUCUUGAUCUCCUGACCUCGUGAUCCGCCCGCCUCGGCCUCCCAAAGUGCUGGGAUUACAGGCGUGAGCCACCGCGCCCGGCCGAUUGUGAGUCUUUUAUAAAGCUCUGGAGAUAAGAAGGCCAAAAUGAGUCCUAUGGAGUAUUUGCACAGCCAGUUUCUUCUGGAAGCUUCAAGAGAGAGUCUGUUCCUUGCCUUUUCCAGCUUCUAGAGGCAGCCGACACUCCUUGGCUCAUGGCCACAUAACUCUGACCUGUGUCUAUUGUCACAUCACUGACUCUUCUGACCUCCUACCAGGACCCUUGUGAUUACAUUGGGCCUGCUUGGAUAACCCAGGAUAGCUUCUCCAUCUUAAGGUUGUUAAUCACAUCUGCAGAAUGCCUGUUGCCAUAUAAGUUAACAUAUUCACAGGUUCUAGGAAGAAGGACAUGGACAUCUUCCAGGAAGCAUUAUUCUGUCUACCACAGCAGUUCUUUCAACUGUAUGUUUCCCAGACCAUUCAUCCUUCCCUGCACAAAGUCAAGUUCAUCAACGUUCUUACUGAAAUGUGAUGUUGUUUAUCACGAAUAUAUAUAAAGCAAAGACUCUCUAAUCCUGUACUUUGCAUCUGGCAUUUCAAAAUGAAGUCUAAAAGUGUACAAUUUCUACUCCUAUGCAAGUUUCCUCUUCUUAGAUUUGACCUCCUAUUCUGGACUAUGAAGAGAACCCUGACUCAUACAGCGGCUCAAAGGAAUCUCAGUAAAUCUGAGAAAGAAAAACCACCUCACCAGGCCCUCUAUUUAAGGCUGGUAGCCACUGGUGAAAGUGAUCAUUAAACACUUGGAAUGUAGCUGGUCCAAAUAGAAAUAUGCUGUAAGUAUAUGAAUUUCAAAUAUUUAGUACAAAAACAUGUAAGAUGUUACAUGAAUAAGUUUUAUAUUGAUUACAUGUUGAAAUGAUCAUGCUUUGGAUGUAUUUGGAU
rnacentral:lncRNA from 10 species